GUCCAGGAAGGCCUCAAACUCAUGGUAAUCCUUCUGCCUCAGCCUCCCAAGCCCAAGUACUGGAAUUAUAAGCAUCUGCCACCAGAAACUAUAACUAUAAACUACAGACUGUAAGUAUAAACUUAACUGUAAACUAUAACGAUAAAUUUAAACCAUAUUUGCUCACACUUUGUAAAGAAUUUUUUCCUGAUUCCUUCAGCCUAUUGUUUAGGAGUCUUUCUGGGAAUAAGAGAGUAAAUAUACAAACAUACCUAAUAAUUUAAGAUUAAUUUUGUCUUUUUUGUGUGUGUGUAUUGGGAAUUGAACUCAGGACCUUGCACUUGCGAGGCAGGCACUUGUGCCACUGAGCUAUAUCCUUGGCCCCCAAUUUUAUCUUUUUGAGACAGGGUUUCACUAUGCAGUUCAGGUUGGCCUUGAAUUAGCAGUGAUCCUCCUGUCUCAGCCUCCUGAGUGCUGGUAUUACAGGUGUGUGCCACAAUGUCUGCCCCAUUAGAAUAAUUUUUUUAGGGCCUUUGCACUGAGCUACAUCCCCAGCCCUAUUUGAGACAGGGUCUCGCUAAGUCACUAAGUUGCAUAGACUGGGCAUGAACUUGUGAUCCUCCCAUCUUGGGCUCUCAGAGUGAUGGAAUCAUAGGAAUGUGCCCGAUAAAUGCCCCGAUAAAUGGGUGUUUUCCCUUCUAGACAUCAACAUCGAAAAGGCAGCUGUCUAAAUAGAGGAAUGUCACAGUACAGCACACAACAUAAACAAUGAAUGCUUCAAUACAGGAACUUUAAUAGGCAAACACAUACAGUAAUGGUAUAGUGCAUGUGGGCAGGAAGUAAAGGAAGAGUUGCCAGCUGCUCCUCCUACUUAAUAUUCUUCCCCUUCUUCAGCCUCUGCUUCCACAGAAUCCACGCCCACCUCUUCAUAAUCUUUCUCCAGCGCUGCCAGGUCCUCCCGGGCCUCGGAGAACUCCCCUUCCUCCAUGCCUUCUCCCACGUACCAGUGCACGAAGGCCUCAGCGAUGGCAGUGGUGUUGCUCAGCAUGCACACGGCCCGCUGCACCUUGGCCAGGUCUCCCCCUGGGACCACAGUGGGGGGCUGGUAGUUAAUGCCCACCUGCCACAAAAGGAGAAGAAAGCCCAUUAGGAAGCUUGAAUUAAACCCAGAAAC
rnacentral:lncRNA from 1 species